rnacentral:rRNA from 1 species
CCUACGGGAGGCAGCAGUGGGGAAUAUUGCACAAUGGGGGGAACCCUGAUGCAGCGACGCCGCGUGAGUGAAGAAGUAUUUCGGUAUGUAAAGCUCUAUCAGCAGGGAAGAAAAUGACGGUACCUGACUAAGAAGCCCCGGCUAACUACGUGCCAGCAGCAGCGGUAAUACGUAGGGGGCAAGCGUUAUCCGGAUUUACUGGGGGUAAAGGGAUCGCCGACGGCUGUGCAACUCUGGAGUGAAAGGCUGGGGCCCAACCCCCGGACUGCUCGGGAAACUGUAAAGCUGGAGUGCAGGAGAGGUAAGCGGAAUCCCUAGUGUAGCGGUGAAAGGCGUAGAUAUUAGGAGGAACACCAGUGGCGAAGGCGGCUUACUGGACUGCAACUGACGUUGAGGCUCGAAAGCGUGGGGAGCAAACAGGAUUAGAUACCCCUGUAGUC